rnacentral:rRNA from 1 species
GAUGAACGCUGGCGGCGUGCCUAAUACAUGCAAGUCGAGCGAACAGAUAAGGAGCUUGCUCCUUUGACGUUAGCGGCGGACGGGUGAGUAACACGUGGGUAACCUACCUAUAAGACUGGGAUAACUUCGGGAAACCGGAGCUAAUACCGGAUAACAUUUGGAACCGCAUGGUUCUAAAGUGAAAGAUGGUUUUGCUAUCACUUGUAGAUGGACCCGCGCCGUAUUAGCUAGUUGGUAAGGUAACGGCUUACCAAGGCGACGAUACGUAGCCGACCUGAGAGGGUGAUCGGCCACACUGGAACUGAGACACGGUCCAGACUCCUACGGGAGGCAGCAGUAGGGAAUCUUCCGCAAUGGGCGAAAGCCUGACGGAGCAACGCCGCGUGAGUGAUGAAGGGUUUCGGCUCGUAAAACUCUGUUAUUAGGGAAGAACAAAUGUGUAAGUAACUGUGCACGUCUUGACGGUACCUAAUCAGAAAGCCACGGCUAACUACGUG